GCCCGGAUGGCGGAACAGGUAGACGCAGUGGGCUUAAACCCCGCGGCUGUUAAUAACAGCGUGUGAGUUCAAAUCUCACUCCGGGCA
rnacentral:tRNA from 2 species